UCCGGUUUGUCACCGGCAGUCUCCUUAGAGUUCCCGCCAUUACGCGCUGGCAACUAAGGACAAGGGUUGCGCUCGUUGCGGGACUUAACCCAACAUCUCACGACACGAGCUGACGACAGCCAUGCAGCACCUGUCUCACGGUUCCCGAAGGCACUCUUCGAUCUCUCAAAGAUUCCGUGGAUGUCAAGGCCAGGUAAGGUGGGGAUGACGUGUAACCGAAUC
rnacentral:misc_RNA from 1 species